AGUGAACGCUGGCGGUAGGCCUAACACAUGCAAGUCGAACGGCAGCACAGAGGAGCUUGCUCCUUGGGUGGCGAGUGGCGGACGGGUGAGGAAUACAUCGGAAUCUACUCUGUCGUGGGGGAUAACGUAGGGAAACUUACGCUAAUACCGCAUACGACCUACGGGUGAAAGCAGGGGAUCUUCGGACCUUGCGCGAUUGAAUGAGCCGAUGUCGGAUUAGCUAGUUGGCGGGGUAAAGGCCCACCAAGGCGACGAUCCGUAGCUGGUCUGAGAGGAUGAUCAGACACACUGGAACUGAGACACGGUCCAGACUCCUACGGGAGGCAGCAGUGGGGAAUAUUGGACAAUGGGCGCAAGCCUGAUCCAGCCAUACCGCGUGGGUGAAGAAGGCCUUCGGGUUGUAAAGCCCUUUUGUUGGGAAAGAAAUCCAUCUGGUUAAUACCCGGGUGGGAUGACGGUACCCAAAGAAUAGGCACCGGCUAACUUCGUGCCAGCAGCCGCAGUAA
rnacentral:rRNA from 1 species